rnacentral:rRNA from 1 species
CAGUCGAGCGAUGAAAUUUUAACAGAUCCCUUCGGGGUGAAGAUAAAAUGGAUCAUUGGCGGACGGGUGAGUAGCACGUGAGUAACCUGCCUUAGACAUUGGGAUAGCCUCGGGAAACCGGGAUUAAUACCGAAUAAAAUCACAGAUACACAUGUAUCCAUGAUCAAAACUCCGGUGGUCUAAGAUGGACUCGCGUCCCAUUAGCUAGUUGGUGAGGUAACGGCCCACCAAGGCGACGAUGGGUAGCCGGCCUGAGAGGGUGAACGGCCACAUUGGAACUGAGAAACGGUCCAAACUCCUACGGGAGGCAGCAGUGGGGAAUAUUGCACAAUGGAGGGAACUCUGAUGCAGCGACGCCGCGUGAACGAAGAAGGCUUUCGAGUCGUAAAGUUCUUUUAUAUGGGAAGAUAAUGACGGUACCAUAAGAAAAAGCCCCGGCUAACUACGUGCCAGCAGCCGCGGUAAUACGUAGGGGGCUAGCGUUGUCCGGAAUCACUGGGCGUAAAGGGUUCGCAGGCGGAAAUGCAAGUCAGAUGUAAAAGGCAGAAGCUUAACUACUGUAAGCAUUUGAAACUGCAUAUCUUGAGAAGAGUAGAGGUAAGUGGAAUUUUUAGUGUAGCGGUGAAAUGCGUAGAUAUUAAAAAGAAUACCGGUGGCGAAGGCGACUUACUGGGCUCAUUCUGACGCUGAGGAACGAAAGCGUGGGUAGCAAACAGGAUUAGAUACCCUGGUAGUCCACGCUGUAAACGAUGAGUGCUAGGUGUCGGCUUAAGUCGGUGCCGCAGUUAACACAAUAAGCACUCCGCCUGG